GACGAACGCUGGCGGCGUGCUUAACACAUGCAAGUCGAACGGAAAGGCCCUGCUUUUGUGGGGUGCUCGAGUGGCGAACGGGUGAGUAACACGUGAGUAACCUGCCCUUGACUUUGGGAUAACUUCAGGAAACUGGGGCUAAUACCGGAUAGGAGCUCCUGCUGCAUGGUGGGGGUUGGAAAGUUUCGGCGGUUGGGGAUGGACUCGCGGCUUAUCAGCUUGUUGGUGGGGUAGUGGCUUACCAAGGCUUUGACGGGUAGCCGGCCUGAGAGGGUGACCGGCCACAUUGGGACUGAGAUACGGCCCAGACUCCUACGGGAGGCAGCAGUGGGGAAUAUUGCACAAUGGGCGGAAGCCUGAUGCAGCAACGCCGCGUGCGGGAUGACGGCCUUCGGGUUGUAAACCGCUUUCGCCUGUGACGAAGCGUGAGUGACGGUAAUGGGUAAAGAAGCUCCGGCUAACUACGUG
rnacentral:rRNA from 1 species